GUUGAUGCCACAUUUCUCUCUAUUAUUGAUUAUGGUGAUCUGUUUUAUAUAAAUGCCCCAUCAAAGUGUCUUCAGAUGUUGGAUGCUGUGUUUCAUGGAGCUUUAAGGUUCAUAUUAAGGUCACUGAUACCUGCGACUGAGACAUUUGAGAUUGCAGCUCCUUGGUGAUUCCAGCAGACCUCUUCAGACUCUUGGAUAAAGACCCCAGCAGAUACUCAUACAGAGAAAUUCAUCGUUUCUGUUGUA